rnacentral:rRNA from 1 species
GACGAACGCUGGCGGCGUGCUUAACACAUGCAAGUCGAGCGGUAAGGCCCUUUCGGGGGUACACGAGCGGCGAACGGGUGAGUAACACGUGGGUGACCUGCCUUUAGCUCUGGGAUAAGCCUGGGAAACUGGGUCUAAUACCGGAUAUGACCCUAUGGCGCAUGUUGUGGGGUGGAAAGCCUUGUGCGGCUAGGGAUGGGCCCGCGGCCUAUCAGCUUGUUGGUGGGGUGAUGGCCUACCAAGGCGACGACGGGUAGCCGGCCUGAGAGGGCGACCGGCCACACUGGGACUGAGACACGGCCCAGACUCCUACGGGAGGCAGCAGUGGGGAAUCUUGCGCAAUGGGCGAAAGCCUGACGCAGCGACGCCGCGUGAGUGAUGAAGGCCUUAGGUUGUAAAGCUCUUUUACCCGGGAAGAUAAUGACGGUACCGGGAGAAUAAGCCCCGGCUAACUUCGUGCCAGCAGCCGCCGUAAC